GAUGAACGCUGGCGGCGUGCCUAAUACAUGCAAGUCGAGCGAACGGACGAGAAGCUUGCUUCUCUGGUGUUAGCGGCGGACGGGUGAGUAACACGUGGAUAACCUACCUAUAAGACUGGGAUAACUUCGGGAAACCGGAGCUAAUACCGGAUAAUAUUUUGAACCGCAUGGUUCAAAAGUGAAAGACGGUCUUGCUACCACUUAUAGAUGGAUCCGCGCUGCAUUAGCUAGUUGGUAAGGUAACGGCUUACCAAGGCAACGAUGCAUAGCCGACCUGAGAGGGUGAUCGGCCACACUGGAACUGAGACACGGUCCAGACUCCUACGGGAGGCAGCAGUAGGGAAUCUUCCGCAAUGGGCGAAAGCCUGACGGAGCAACGCCGCGUGAGUGAUGAAGGUCUUCGGAUCGUAAAACUCUGUUAUUAGGGAAGAACAUAUGUGUAAGUAACUGUGCACAUCUUGACGGUACCUAAUCAGAAAGCCACGGCUAACUACGUG
rnacentral:rRNA from 1 species